rnacentral:rRNA from 1 species
AUUGAACGCUGGCGGCAGGCCUAACACAUGCAAGUCGAACGGUAACAGGAAGCAGCUUGCUGCUUUGCUGACGAGUGGCGGACGGGUGAGUAAUGUCUGGGAAACUGCCCGAUGGAGGGGGAUAACUACUGGAAACGGUAGCUAAUUCCGCAUAACGUCGCAAGACCAAAGAGGGGGACCUUAGGGCCUCUUGCCAUCGGAUGUGCCCAGAUGGGAUUAGCUAGUAGGUGGGGUAACGGCUCACCUAGGCGACGAUCCCUAGCUGGUCUGAGAGGAUGACCAGCCACACUGGAACUGAGACACGGUCCAGACUCCUACGGGAGGCAGCAGUGGGGAAUAUUGCACAAUGGGCGCAAGCCUGAUGCAGCCAUGCCGCGUGUAUGAAGAAGGCCUUCGGGUUGUAAAGUACUUUCAGCGGGGAGGAAGGGAGUAAAGUUAAUACCUUUGCUCAUUGACGUUACCCGCAGAAGAAGCACCGGCUAACUCCGUG